rnacentral:rRNA from 1 species
GACGAACGCUGGCGGCGUGCCUAAUACAUGCAAGUAGAACGCUGAAGAGAGGAGCUUACUCUUCUUGGAUGAGUUGCGAACGGGUGAGUAACGCGUAGGUAACCUGCCUUGUAGCGGGGGAUAACUAUUGGAAACGAUAGCUAAUACCGCAUAACAAUGGAUGACACAUGUCAUUUAUUUGAAAGGGGCAAUUGCUCCACUACAAGAUGGACCUGCGUUGUAUUAGCUAGUAGGUGAGGUAAUGGCUCACCUAGGCGACGAUACAUAGCCGACCUGAGAGGGUGAUCGGCCACACUGGGACUGAGACACGGCCCAGACUCCGACGGGAGGCAGCAGUAGGGAAUCUGCGGCAAUGGGGGCAAACCUGACCGAGCAACGCCGCGUGAGUGAAGAAGGUUUUCGGAUCGUAAAGCUCUGUUGUAAGUCAAGAACGGGUGUGAGAGUGGAAAGUUCACACUGUGACGGUAGCUUACCAGAAAGGGACGGCUAACUACGUG